GUAGUAGCCAAAGGCCUGGGGCUAAGCAAAGCUUAUGUAGGCCAGAAGAGCAACUUCACAGUAGAUUGCAGCAAAGCAGGUGAGUAGCCCUGUUUUUAGCUUCUGGAAGUGAAAAAUCCAGAAAUAACACGAUGGUCACCAUAGCACCCACAUUGCAGCUCACAACUAUCUGUAAUUCUAGUUCCAUGGGAUCUGUUGUAGAAAUUAUUUAAUCCCUGUCCAGGGUUUCUACCCCACCUUAGACCAUUUUAGUUCCCAGAUAAAGAAUACACACAAUCUUUAUACUUACAAUAAACCUUAAACAACAAAAGAGCUUGGAAGAUACUACUCUCUAUUGUUAGACUCUACUUUCCUAUGGAUAAUCCCAAGUUAUUACUUACUAUGUUUAUCUGGGCUGCUCUUAACUCCAAUUGGGCAGCCCUCAGGGUCCUUGACUUCAGCUCAUGGUGGCUUCUCCUUCCUCCUCCUCCUCUACUUUCUUGCACAGAUAUACAUAUAGACAAAAUACCAAUGUCCUAGAGGAGCUGGAAUUUAUCCUCUGGUGGCCUGGGUGGCAAGGCUGGAGUAUGACAAGCUUGCUUGGGCAUGUUAAUAAUCAGGCAAGGGACAGAAGGUGGAAUAGUGAGAAGGGCUCAGAGCAAGUAAAGCCAAAGAAAGUAUCUAAGGCCACUAAGACCUAUUCCUUCCUAUCUUAGGUAACAACAUGUUGCUGGUGGGCGUGCAUGGCCCAAGGACACCCUGUGAAGAGAUCCUGGUGAAACACAUGGGCAGUCGCCUCUAUAGUGUCUCCUACCUGCUCAAAGACAAAGGGGAAUACACAUUGGUGGUCAAGUGGGGUGAUGAGCAUAUCCCAGGCAGCCCAUACCGCAUUAUGGUGCCCUGAGCUUGCCACUUUGCCAGCCAGAAGCUCCCAUGGCAAUGAGCAUCCCCAUACCUGUCUUAUCCCCCA
rnacentral:lncRNA from 1 species